UUUAUUCUCGAGACUCUCUCUCUUCUCCUUGUUUUCUAAUUUCUCCGAUGGCGAAAUUGAGAGCAAAUCGUGUUGUUCUUCAUAAUCCGGCGUCUAGGUCAUCAAAUUGGAAGAGAAAGGUGAAACAAAGUCGUAAACAAUCAUCCGUGAUGAUCAGCUCUACUGUCGGUGGUCACCAACAUAAGUUCGGUGGACCAAAUCAGUGCGUUCGGCAAAUCAAAUCGGAUAGUUAGGCGAUUCCAUGCUCCAAUCGCUUAAUCACGGUUUUCAGAGAAAAUUUGCUAUCCAAGGAUUUUGUUAAUAUCCACACACCGAAACUCUUGGCCGGUAGUAGUGAAGGAGGUUCUGCUGUAUUUAGGUUGGAAUACCAAGGACAGCCUGCUUGUCUAGCUCAGUCUCCUCAACUUCACAAGCAAAUGACAAUAUGUGACUUGCUAUAAUGGACCUUGUGGACGAGUUAUUUGUGUUUAUAUUCACUAGUUUGAAUAAUAAAUGCAAAAAGGAACUUGAAGCUAUUGGAAACAAUACCCAUUUAAACCUUUGAAGUUUCUUGAAAAGACAUUGAGGUUAACGUUUGAAGAAGGGGUUCAAAUUCUUAAGGAAGCUGGUGUGGAGAUUGAUCCUCUUGGCGAUCUAAACACUGAAUCUCAGAGAAAACUUGGCCAACUUGUACUGGAAAAGUAAUCCAUCACUUAUUUUAGUUUUCAAAAUGAUUUAGUUAUUUAUCUCA